rnacentral:rRNA from 1 species
GAUGAACGCUAGCUACAGGUUUAACACAUGCAAGUCGAGGGGUAACGAGAGGAAAGCUUGCUUUCCUUGUCGACGACCGGCGCACGGGUGAGUAACGCGUAUCCAACCUGCCCCCAACUAGGGAAUAACCUUGCGAAAGUAAGACUAAUACCCUAUAAUUUCCUCAGAUGUCAUCUGACGAGGAAUAAAGAUUGAUCGGUUGAGGAUGGGGAUGCGUCUGAUUAGCUUGUUGGCGGGGUAACGGCCCACCAAGGCAACGAUCAGUAGGGGUUCUGAGAGGAAGGUCCCCCACAUUGGAACUGAGACACGGUCCAAACUCCUACGGGAGGCAGCAGUGAGGAAUAUUGGUCAAUGGGCGGAAGCCUGAACCAGCCAAGUAGCGUGCAGGAUGACGGCCCUAUGGGUUGUAAACUGCUUUUAUACAGGAAUAAAGUUAGCCACGUGUGGUUAUUUGUAGGUACUGUAUGAAUAAGGACCGGCUAAUUCCGUGCCAGCCGCCGCCGUAA